GUCUAUGGCCAUACCACCCUGAACGCGCCCGAUCUUGUCUGAUCUCGGAAGCUAAGCAGGGUCGGGCCUGAUUAGUACUUGGACGGGAGGGAGACUGUGUGACACUGGAAU
ensembl:rRNA 5S_rRNA 5S ribosomal RNA